rnacentral:rRNA from 1 species
UAUUGUAAUAAGAUUUUAAUUGAAUGCUAAGAGAAUGGAAUUACAGGGAAUAACUAUUUAAAACUUAAAAAUUAAAAUUAUUUUAAUUUGUGAAGAAACAAUUAUUAAAAUUAAGGACAAGAAGACCCUAAGAAUUUUAAAAUAAUUAAUUUCUUAUAAGAAAUUAAUUAUUUUUAGUUGGGGCAACUAGAAAAUAUUAUAAACUUUUUAUAUAAUAAAAUGACCCAUUAUUAAUGAUUAUUUGAGAAAAAUACUCUAGGGAUAACAGCGUAAUAAUUUUUGAUAGAGCCUAUAGACAAAAUAGUUUGCGACCUCGAUGUUGGAUUAGGAUACUUUUUUAAUGAAGAUGUUAAAAAAAGAAGUUUGUUCAACUUUUAAAGUCCU